GCUCCCGUAGUCUAGUCCGGUCAAGGAUGCCGCCCUCUCACGGCGAUGACGUGGGUUCAAAUCCCGCCGGGAGCA
rnacentral:tRNA from 1 species